GUCUGUGAUUGUGUAUCUCUGUAGUUAAGUGUGUGUGUGUGUGUGUGUGUGUAUAUAUAUAUAUAUAUAUACACACACACACACACACUUAAUACAGAGAUACACAUC
rnacentral:miRNA from 1 species